CGGCCAUUUUGAAUAUUCCAAAGUCUAACCCCUACUGCAAUUUGUUCCCUCCAUAAUUAUAUACAAUCAUAUACCAUUUAAUGUCUCUAGAAUAAAUUUAACAUUGAUGUUCUGGAAUGUUCCAUAAAAAUUCACCCCCCUAAAAUUAUGCCAAGGAGACCCCCUACUGAAAUAAAAUUAGUUCCAAGUUGAAGCUGACAUGUGUCUCUAAAUAUUCAUAAAAGAAAAUAUAAUACCAUCUACUCUAUUUACAGCAGAAAAUUGAUGAAAUGCAAAAAAAAAUUGACCCCACCCAUCUUUGAGCCCCCCUAAUUAUGCCAAGAUGACACCCUGGUAUCAUGGACAUUGGGUUCUGCAACCCCCAUGAUGCAGACCUAUACCCAGAAUAAAUAUAAAUUUUCCAUCCUGUACUGCUUCCCAAAAAAUGGUAGGACAGUUUAAGGGGUCAGAAAGAGAAGAAUAAGAAUAAUAACUAGAUUUGUAAUUGCUAGCAAUAACGGAUGGCACCCUCGUACCCCCAUUGCCAGGCGAGCGACAGCCAUUUUGGAAAUUCCAAAGUCAAAGAGUGCGUCUACACCUGCAGGUUAUCAUUUUUGCAAAAUUUCAUUAAGUUUGGAGCAUUUUGAAAUUUUGGACAAUUUUGCUGUUUCCAUGGUUACGGCGGCCAUUUUGGAAAUUCCAACUUCAAAAUGCAACUCCGCACAUGACAGUCACUAUUCCUGUAAAGUUUCAUCCAGUUUGCAGCACAUAAUUUUUUUGGAAAUUUUGAACAUUUGUGCUGCAACCAUGGUUACAGUAGAUAAUUCCAAAAUUCUAAAAGCAGACAUCUCAUUGCCACAUGUCAUGUUAUAUAUCAAUACAGUUUCAUUAACUUUGGUGCACUACUCUCUGAGAAAAUGCAGAUUUUAUGCAUUUUUCCAUAGGGUCAAUGCAAAACUUGGCCCUAGUUUCCAUGACAACGGCGGCCAUUUUGAACUAUCAAAAUAUUGUCUUGACAUCUUGGCAUACUGGAGAACAUUUUCAUAAAGUUUCAUGUCUCUAGAAUAAAUUUAACAUUGAUGUUCUGGAAUGUUCUGUGAAAAUUCAAAGUUUUGACCUUUUUGCAUUGUUUCCAUGGUAACAACAGAUAUUUUGGAAAUUCCAACGCCAAAUUCCACAUCUUCCAAUGUUGCUCAUCGUUACUGUGAAGUUUCAUGAAGUUUGGAGCAUUUUGAUAUUUUUGAAAUUUUUGGUGUAGUUUCCAUGGCAACAUAGUAGUUCCAAUGAGUGCCAAAAUCAUCCAACACCUGUAUAUGGCCGGCACCUACAUUGUAUCAAAAUAUAAUGUUUCUGAGUUAAAGCAUAUCCAAACAGUUCACCAAAACAAAAAACUGGAUUUUUUCACAUUUGUUCCGUUUCCAUGGAAACGGCAGCCAUCUUGAAAGUGCCAACCCCUGCAAAUCUUCAUAUGGUGGUUAACAUUAUGGUAUAGUUCCAUCUUCUUGGGUCCAUUCACAUUAGAGUUCCAGACUGGACAAAAAUGUGUGGAAGAAAAAUAAUAAUAAAAAUAACUAGAUUUGCCAUUGCAAGCAAUAGCGGAUGGCACCCUUCCCCCAUUGCCAGGUGAGCGGCAGCCAUUUUGAAAAUUCCAAAGUCAAAGAGCUCAUCUACAGAUGUCUAUUAACAUUCUUGUAAAGUUUCAUCAAUUUUGGAGCAUUUUGAAAUUUUUGAAAUUUUUGCUAUUUCCAUGGUAACGGGUACCAUUUCCAAAAUUCCAAAGACAGUGCCACUUUGGGACAUGCCAUGUUACAUAUCCAUGAAGUUGUAGAAGGUUUGAUCUUAUAUUUUUGCAGAAAAUGCAGCUUCAAUGUGUUUUCCCAUAGGGCCAAUGUUAAACUUUCGCCCUGUUUCCAUGACAAUGGCGGCCAUUUUGGAAUUUCCUAAUAUUGUCACAACAUCUAGACAUACCAAGGAACAUUACCAUAAAGUUUCAUCCAGCUAGGUCUUAUAAUGAAAGAUUUAGAAUUUCCAUUUUUUUUCACAUUUUAUCAGUUUCCAUGGCAACAGCAGCCAUCUUGAUGAUGCCAUACCCUGUUUGCAAAACUUCAUAUGCUGGGUAACAUUAUGGUAUAGUUCCAUGACCAUUCCAUCAUACAGUGCCAAGAUAUGGCCUGGACAAAAAGCGUGGAAGAAAAAUAAAAAUAAUAAUAAGAAAAAAAGAAACGUAGAAUAACAAUACGUCACCCCAACUCCGUUGAGGGUGCCAUAAAAAAAAAAAAGAAACGUAGAAUAACAAUAUGUCACCCCAACUCCGUUGAGGGUGCCAUAAUAAUAAGAAACGAUACAAAAACAAUAAGUCGCCAAAAACUCCGUUUUGGUGACUUAAUAAUAAGAAAAAACUAGAUUUGUAAUUGCUAGCAAUAACGGAUGGCACCCUCGUCCC
rnacentral:lncRNA from 1 species